AUACUUACCUGGCACAGGAGAUCCCGUUAUCAGGCGAAGUCGGUUCUCCUCAGGGCGAAGGCUCACCAUUGCACUCCGGUGGCGCUGACCCCUGCCGAUUAACCCAAUGUGGUUAAUCGAGUGCGCAAUUUUUUGUUAGUGGGGGACUGCGUUCGCGCUAUCCCCCU